GGAACCGGCUGCGAGGAAGCGGAAAGGGUGGAGCGAGGCCGGGCGGCGGCGGCGGCCAUGGCCACGGCGGGGGCAUCGCAGGGAGGCGAGCCGGGAUGCGAGCCGGGAUGCGAGCCGGGAUGCGAGCACUACCGGCGGGGCUGCCGGCUGCGGGCGCCGUGCUGCGGGAAGCUGUACCCGUGCCGGCUGUGCCACGACGGCGCCGAGGAGCACCAGCUGGACCGGUUCCGGGUGUCCGAGGUGCAGUGCGUCCGCUGCCUGCUCCUGCAGAAGGCCCAGCAGCGCUGCGAGGGCUGUGGCAGCCUCUUUGGGGAGUACUACUGUGACAUCUGCCACCUGUUUGACCGUGACAAGAAGCAGUACCACUGCCAGGAGUGCGGCAUCUGCAGGAUUGGCCCCAAGGAGGAUUUCUUCCACUGCUCCAAGUGUAACUUGUGCCUCAGCCUGAGUCUCCAAGGAAAGCACAAGUGUAUUGAAAAUGUCUCCAGGCAGGACUGUCCAAUAUGUUUGGAGGAUAUUCACACAUCUCGUGUUGGAGCCCAUGUUCUGCCGUGUGGUCACCUUCUUCACAGGACAUGUUACGACGAAAUGCUGAAGGAAGGCUACAGGUGUCCUCUGUGCAUGCACUCGGCGUUGGACAUGACCAGGUACUGGCGCCAGCUGGACACCGAAGUGGCGCAGACUCCCAUGCCCAGCGAGUACCAGAACAUGAUGGUGGAGAUCCUCUGCAACGACUGCAAUGCCCGCUCCACGGUGCAGUUCCACCUGCUGGGCAUGAAGUGCCAGAGCUGUGCGUCCUACAACACGGCGCAGGACGGGCGGUGCCGGCUGUCCUUGGAGGAGCAGUGACCGCGGCACGCGCGGCGCCGGGCCCUGCGAGAGACUCGUGUGAGCAGAGCAGCUCUUGUGCCAGUAGAAACUCCAGUAUUCCGAGUCCAAGGAGCCCCUGACUGCGGCAGGGAGGAGGCAGCAAGACUCCCUGCUGCUUUGGUUGGCACCUGGUGACUCCACCUCCUUCCCUGGAUGGAGACCUGCUCCCAGGUAAGCCUGGAAGUGCCAGUGGAGCUCCCACCAGCCUGCAGGAGUUCUCAUCCCAGAAAACUCUGGCCAAAUAGCUUGUGGACUGGUCAAGUCCACAACUGAGCAGGUUCACUGUUAAAUGGAAAGCUAAUUUUAUUCCAAUUGCUAGUUGGAAAUAUUCUUCUUUGGGUUCCAGCCACAAGAGGAGGCUGAAAGAAAAUUCUUAGUUGGGCUGAGCUUUGGUGUUGGGAAGGAAAAUUACUGGUGGUACAGGAUCCAGGUGGUUUUGACCUUUUGCUCUCCUGUUUUUGGUGUUUGGCUCUGGAAAGUGCACGAGGGAAUAGGAAUGCUGAACCGCUGUUUGGUGUGUUUAUCUUGGCACCAAGCCCUUAACUCCCUUUGCCAGGGAAUAAAUGGCAGGGCAGGAAAAGGAAUGGCAUUUUCAGGGGAUAAAGGGCAAUGGAGGGGGGAUCCAGACAGGAGAGGAGCUGCUUUCUGGGGUGGGAGGUGCUGUAUGGAGUUUUGCUGCCCUGUCCAUGGAGGUGCAGGCGAGGGGAGCGGGGAGGAUGCUGGCAUCAGACACUGAGAUGAUCCAGGCAUGGAUCAGCCUUGGGCUGUUGGAGCUGUAGGGAAGCUCCCUCGCUCCCUGGCACCCAGAAUCCUGCCUUGCUCACCCCUCCAGGCCAGAAUCAGGAGCAGAUGGUGCUUUGUGGGAAAAAAAGUGGAGUUCCAGCAGGCGGGGGGGCCGCACACGAGGUCACGGAGCUAUAAAUACAGGCAGAGCUCUGCAGAACACGAGAGAGGGAUCAGGGGGGCAGCAAGAGGAACAGUGCAGGGCUGGAGGGACCCCCAGUUUCGGGCUGGUUUGGUGCUCUGGUGUGGUUUUUCCUUGCUCCAAUGGCGUUGUUCGGGAAGGAAGUGGGGGUGUUCUGUGUCAAACCUCCGGUUCAGCCGCCCCCUCCUGGGGCUGUCUCGCCCCUGCCUGGCUGCAGGGAAACCAUCUGUUUUUAAAUUUCCAGCUGGAAGCGAGGGAGAGGCUCCUGGUGUUGUGCUGUUUGUGCCUCAGAGGGGCAGCCAGGCAUCUGCCUCUGCAGAGCUCAGCCCAGGGCUGUGCUGGGACCUCCGUGCUGGAAACGGGGUGGUUUCCUUGGAUUUGCUCCUUCGUGGUCCCGGCUGGAGUUGGCUUCUGGCACCUGUGCCAAAGGCUGCAACCAGCAGCUACUCACUGCAGUAGCUCCGUGCUUGGAAAGGUGGAUGGUGAUGGGAAUAUUCACCAAACAAGAGCAUCACUGGGGAGGCCAGAGGGAGUCUGGAAGCCGGGAUAAAGCUUCCAGCCGGCGGAUCUGUGGUUCCACACGCACGGAGCUAUGCCAGCUAUUUCUCUUUCUGUAUAAAUAAAAUAUCUCUGAGAUGAAACGGAGCCAAAGGGGGGGCGGGGGGAGGGAGGCGAGGGAGUUGGGAGGAGGUGGAAUUGAGCCAGAGUCGUGGGAGCCUUUGGGAAAAAUGGGAAUUGGCUGGUUUUGCAAAUGAAACGAGUUGGUAGCAGGGUUAACCCCGCUGGUUUUUAAAAGAGAAGGAAAAGGGGUAUUUUUUUUUAGGGCACGUCCUGGUUGCUUUUCCCCCUUUUCCCUGCUGUACUGGUGUGGGACAGCAACCCUACAAUAAGCCAGGGGGUCUGAGAUGGGAAUGUGAGAGGGGUGUUUGAAGGCAUUGCCUGGAACACAGGCAUCCUCCCUCUGAGGGCAUUGUCCCCAGAAUGAAGUGCCUUUUCCACUUGCCAAACACAUCUGGUGUUCCCUAGGCUGCCCCGUGCUGCCAAACAAUCCUGCAGGUGGAAACCCAUCGUCUGUGUCCAUACCAUCCAUGGCCCUGGAGAUGGUGUCUGGUCCCAGAGAGGUGAGGAAUCUGUUUUCACCCCAGGGUGUCCCCAAAAAUAUGUACAGCUUCUUCCUUGCGUUGUAGGGCAAGAGAGAGUAGUUCAUUUUGAGGAUCCAGGCACAGGGUUGAGCAGGAAAACUGAGGCCCCAUUUCUGUCCUCCUUCAUGAAAAAGGAAUUUAUUCCCUUGGGGGUUAUAUACUUUUAAUUGAUGGUGAUGGCUUUUCCUCUCCCUUUAUUCCCUCAGUUUGGCAGCAGCAGCACAACAUCCAGUUUAUUUUCAGAGAAGAAGGGUGGUGGUUUUUUAACUCUGUGGCUUUUCUUAGCCAAGGUAGCCUAAUUUGCUGCUUCUCAGGUGCCAAAAAGGUGGAAAGGAAUUUUGCUCAUCCUAAGCAUCUUCAGGGCCUGUGCUUUCCUGUGUAUGCUCCCAGCCCCAACAGUUUUCCAGGCUGGCUGUGGCUGCGAGGUGCAACAACCAUCCACAGGUUUAUUUACCUGUUUUCACCAAGGACUGAGGGCUUUGCUUUCCGCUGCCAGGGAAUUUAGCCAGAGGGAGAAGCAGCUGAGCAUCCCCUUCCCAAACCAGCUCUGCCAUCAGCCACCCCCAGCCUUCCCACACUGAAAGCUGAACACAAAUUGGGGAUGAAAAGAACACUCCGCUGUAUUUUAGCAGCCAAGUUUUUUUGAGGAAUGGAAACAAAGCUGUGGAGCAAGCAGCCACGUGUGUGAAAUGGAUGGUCAGUGCAUCUUCCUGUGGACUCCUGGGCUGCUUUUUGGGACCAAAACCCCCACAAUUAAAUGGAAAAAAUUAAAUUAGGAACUUGUGCAUGGAAGCACCUGCAGGAAAAGAAAGGGAGCAGUGACUGAGCAGCCCCGUAGCUGUUCAUGGUUCCUGAGGAGACAAGGCAAAGGAUUUCGUAGCAGGGCAACACAGGGAAGUGAUUUCAGGGAAAGGGAUAUGUGAAAGCACAGGAGACCCCGGCACACUGCUGGCUCUGGCUCAGCAGCCCCCCACUCCCCCCCAAAUCUCAGAGCAGCAGCAUUUCAGAGGAUGCC